UGGGGAAUAUUGCACAAUGGAGGGAACUCUGAUGCAGCGACGCCGCGUGAGUGAUGAAGGAAUUCGUUUCGUAAAACUCUGUUCUAUGGGAAGAAAAGGACUGUACCAUAGUAGAAAGCUCCGGCUAAAUACGUGUCAGCAGCUGCGGUAAUACGUAUGGAGCGAGCGUUGUCCGGAACUAUUGAGCGUAAAGGGUGCGCAGGCGGCUUUACAAGUUGGAUGUGAAAUAUUGUGGCUCAGCCACAAACGUGCAUCCAAAACUGCAAAGCUUGAGUUAAGGAGAGGUAAGUGGAAUUCCUGGUGUAGCGGUAGAAUGCGUAGAUAUCAGGAGGAAUACCGGUGGCAAAGGCGACUUACUGGACUUAAACUGCCACUCAGGCACGAAAGCGUGGGGAGCAAACAGG
rnacentral:rRNA from 1 species